UAGGGAAUCCCUCCGCAAUGGGCGAAAGCCUGACGGAGCAACGCCGCGUGAGUGAUGAAGGUCUUCGGAUCGUAAAACUCUGUUAUUAGGGAAGAACAUAUGUGUAAGUAACUGUGCACAUCUUGACGGUACCUAAUCAGAAAGCCACGGCUAACUACGUGCCAGCAGCCGCGGUAAUACGUAGGUGGCAAGCGUUAUCCGGAAUUAUUGGGCGUAAAGCGCGCGUAGGCGGUUUUUUAAGUCUGAUGUGAAAGCCCACGGCUCAACCGUGGAGGGUCAUUGGAAACUGGAAAACUUGAGUGCAGAAGAGGAAAGUGGAAUUCCAUGUGUAGCGGUGAAAUGCGCAGAGAUAUGGAGGAACACCAGUGGCGAAGGCGACUUUCUGGUCUGUAACUGACGCUGAUGUGCGAAAGCGUGGGGAUCAAACAGGAUUAGAUACCCUGGUAGUCCACGCCGUAAACGAUGAGUGCUAAGUGUUAGGGGGUUUCCGCCCCUUAGUGCUGCAGCUAACGCAUUAAGCACUCCGCCUGGGGAGUACGACCGCAAGGUUG
rnacentral:rRNA from 1 species